GCCUGUUAGCGCAGUCGGUAGCGCUUAAGUCUUCUAUUCAGGAGGUAGUGAGUUCGAGCCUAAGCGGGACCA